CCAAAUCGUUGUAAUUCACCUUUAGAAAAAAUUCCACCUCUAGCACAUUUCAUGGUAUACAUAUAGUCAGUGGGAACAUACGCAAACCCAAGGCUAUCCCAGUCUAUGUCGGCUAAUUCAGUUGUUUCACUGCUGCAAAUAUCAGAUACUGCAGCGUCAGGCCUGAAAGGAGAGACAGCUUGCAGGGCAUUAGAAGAAAGACCCCCCUUUACCAGCUUGAGAGACAAAGAAGAAGGAAAAGGAGAGAAAUGAAGUGAGCGAUGAGAGAAGGAAGGAAGAGGAAGGAGAGAAGAAGAGUUGGGGGAUGAGGAAAGAAGGUAAUUUUGAUGCAAAGUGGCAGUCUCCAUUUGUUUCUUCCUCGAGUCUGGCAGCGAAAGCGAGUGUUUCAAAGAGGAGGAGAAAGGAAGCGAAGGAAGCUAGCUCUGAGCGUGGGACUAAAUCCAUGUGGCCUUUUAUCCUGCGUUCCGCUGACGUACAAAUCUCCAAC
rnacentral:misc_RNA from 1 species